rnacentral:rRNA from 1 species
CAAUAGCGGAGGAAAAGAAACCAACAGGGAUUGCCUCAGUAACGGCGAGUGAAGCGGCAAAAGCUCAAAUUUGAAAUCUAGCACUUUCAGUGUUCGAGUUGUAAUUUGAAGAAGGUAACUUUGGUUUUGGCUCUUGUCUAUGUUCCUUGGAACAGGACGUCACAGAGGGUGAGAAUCCCGUGCGAUGAGAUGCCCAAUUCCAUGUAAAGUGCUUUCGAAGAGUCGAGUUGUUUGGGAAUGCAGCUCUAAGUGGGUGGUAAAUUCCAUCUAAAGCUAAAUAUUGGCGAGAGACCGAUAGCGAACAAGUACAGUGAUGGAAAGAUGAAAAGAACUUUGAAAAGAGAGUGAAAAAGUACGUGAAAUUGUUGAAAGGGAAGGGCUUGAGAUCAGACUUGGUAUUUUGCGUUCCCUUCCUUUUUGGUUGGGUUCCUCGCAGUUUACUGGGCCAGCAUCGGUUUGGAUGGUAGGAUAAUGACAUUGGAAUGUAGCUUUACUUCGGUGAAGUGUUAUAGACUUUGUUGAUACUGCCUAUCUAGACCGAGGACUGCGUCUUUGACUAGGAUGCUGGCGUAAUGAUCUUAAGCCGCCCGUCUUGAA